GACGAACGCUGGCGGCGUGCUUAACACAUGCAAGUCGAGCGGUAAGCCCCCUUCGGGGGUACACGAGCGGCGAACGGGUGAGUAACACGUGGGUGACCUGCCCUCAGCUCUGGGAUAAGCCUGGGAAACUGGGUCUAAUACCGGAUAUGACUCCAUGACGCAUGUCGUGGGGUGGAAAGCCUUGUGCGGCUGGGGGAUGGGCCCGCGGCCUAUCAGCUUGUUGGUGGGGUGAUGGCCUACCAAGGCGACGACGGGUAGCCGGCCUGAGAGGGCGACCGGCCACACUGGGACUGAGACACGGCCCAGACUCCUACGGGAGGCAGCAGUGGGGAAUCUUGCGCAAUGGGCGAAAGCCUGACGCAGCGACGCCGCGU
rnacentral:rRNA from 1 species